UCCCUCAAAGAUGAUGAGGUUAAUAGGUUCGAGGUGGAAGCAUGGUGACAUGUGGAGCUGACGAAUACUAAUCGAUCGAAGACUUAAUCAAA
rnacentral:rRNA from 1 species